UGAGAUCAUGACCUGAGCCAAAAUCAAGAGUCAGAAGUUCAACCAACUGAGUCACCCAGGCACCCCCAGCUAUGACCAAACUCUGCUUCCUCUCCCUUUGGUCUUUGCUGAAAUGCUUCCCUGUCAAUAUGCAGCCCUCUCUCUGGAGAUCCCUUUGGACUUCUGUGCAUCUGCCUGAUUACAUUUGCCCUACAGAGCCUUGACACCCCCAAGUAGAAGACACCACAAACAAUUCAAGACAUAAAGCAAAAACUCGCAUGCCAGAGAUGAGUAAUAAUGUGAGCGAAAUGGUGGACAGGCAGCCCUAAGCUAUUGUCCCUCCACAGAAACCAUAGAAAACAAGCAGAAACUGUCAAAACUGUGUCAGAACUCUGGAAAACAUUAAAAGAUUUAUAGCAACCAUGGAAACACUGGUUCAAGAAAAAGAAAAUUGAAAAAUGCUAGGAAAGCUUUGUGGUAUUUUCAUUUACCCUUGCCCACACUCUUUCUAGCCUGGCAGAAGUCUUGAAAAUGGCAACCUGCAUUCUCAUUGUGGGACCUCAGUCCCUGAGGAAGCAGAGCGGAUGUGGGGCAAGAAAAGUUACUGUUGAGACAUACAAUAGACCAUCUAAAGACUCACAGGGAAAGUUGGGGUAAGCGUCUUUGGGAAAUUAAGGAAUUUAAAAGCAGCUACAUACACCGGGGAACUUAAAAACCACACCCAUGUACAGGGAAAGAUGCAUGCUCAGAAAAGACCUGAGAAGACCCUAAUCUUUUGCUUUAUGUAGGAUAAACUCAGAUCCACAUCAAGGCACAUUAUAAUCAGUAAAAAGACAAAGACAAGGGACAAUCUGAAAGCAGCAAGAGAGAAGCACCUUUUCACAUACAAGGAAUUCUCGGAAGAUUAACAGCCAAAUUUUCAUAAAAAAUUAUAUAGGACAGAGGGCAGUGGGGUGGAAUAUUUAAAGUGCUGAAAGAAAAAAAUGUCAACCAAAAAAUUCUGAAUCCAGCAAAACUGUCCUUCAAAAAUGAGUGAGAAAUGAAGAUAAUUCUGCAUAAAUAAAAGCUGAGAGAGUCUGUUGCCA
rnacentral:lncRNA from 1 species